AUGGUUAAAAUUUACAAAUAAUUUGGAAAGAAGAGAAAAGAGAAAAAAAACUUUGAAAAGGCAGAAGAACCAAAUGGCAAUUUUCCAAAAUAGAAAGAAAACAAACUCAAAGAGGAUAAACAGAUAGCUCUGUGACAUGAAACCAAAGCAAAGCGACCAAUCACCAGCACAGAUUCUUAGUGGAGGAACACACGAGACGAAACGGAACGGAAGGAUUCAAUCCAUGCUUUGAUUUUCAUCAACAACAAUGAAAAAAUUAUCGAAAUCGAUUUCCAGUCCCAGUCGGACCGACCUGUUUCCACCGCCAUUGAUGAGCUUUCUCAGAGCCGAUGCUGGUAAUCGGAGUAAAAGCGGCCGGUCUCGCUCCAGUCCGAUCUUCGUCGGGAAGAAGAACGUCGUCGCCAUUGAAACUCAAGAGCCGUCCUCUCCCAAGGUCACUUGUAUGGGACAAGUCCGCGCCUCCUCCAAUAAAACUCCCGCCGCUCGAUGCCGGUGGAUUAGAAGCGUCCUCUCUUUCAAUCGACGCAAUUGUCGAACCUUCUGGAACAGCUCCGCGAUGUUCUUCCGAAGAAAGUAUGAAAUUAGACGAAAAUCAUCGAUAUUUGAAUCUCGCGUCGGAAACGAAGCCGAAGAUUCGGAGAAAGAUGAAGAGAACGACGGAGGAGCUAGAGAUGCGGUUUUUUCGUCUUCGGUGCCAUCGCCGCCGAAAAACGCUCUUAUUCUGACGAGAUGUAGAUCUGCGCCAAAUCGUGCGUCGUUUUACGGAAAUCGGUACCGGAGUAGGCCGAUUACGAGCGACGGAAGUGGAGAAGAAGAGGAGAAAGCAGAGGAGGAUUUAGGAAACAGCGCAGCUUCCGAAAUUGAGUUGCGAAAAAAGGAGGGAUUGUGGAAUAAAGUCGAAAAUGCAAAGGGAGAUGGAGAUUGUGAGUGUGUAGAUAGAAAAGAGAGGACAAUGGAGGAAAAAUCGAUGUUGAAUCGGAAGCUGAUUCUGACGAGAUGUAAAUCGGAACCUGCGAGAAUUGCAGAGAAAAUGUACGGAGAAUUGAAUCUUCGGGAAGAAGAAAGGUCGGUUAUGGCUAAGAACAAUUCGGUUAUGGCUAAGAACAAUUCUUACUUGUUGAAUUAGAUGAUUGAAUCUUUACUAGUUCUUGACUUUCCUCCAUUACUGAAAACGCAAGAAAUGGAGACUUUCGGUGAGGCAAAAUGGAAGAACGAUGAAAGCCUGUGUGAUAGAGUUGAGGAAUUAUAUGGUAAAUUAUUAGAGUUAAAAUCUAACUUCUUAUUGCUUGCUUAUUAAGAUUAAAGGUUAAUUGAGUAUUGAGUGAGAUGAAUCUUUAAUUUAAAUAUAUUUAGUUGAAUACAAACAUUACCCUAGAAAUUAUUAGAAUUAGCACUGAAAAGUUACUGGAGCUCUUUCGAUGAAAUCUAGUAUAAAAUGAAUCUCUAUAUUCUCUUAA